GUCCCGCCGGUGGGACUCUGCCGCGCCUCGCUCGCCUGCCUCCGGUCCGUCUCAGGACGGGGCCGGGCCGGCGGGUGAAAUGGGACAAGGGCGCUGCGCCGCGUGGAGCGGAAUCCCGGCCCGCACGCACCCAGGUGCUUUCACAGCUCCUCGCCCAACACUCUCUCGGUCGCAGAAACACCUUUCCCCGCCCCACGCCGACGGCCAGCGGGGCCAGGGAGGGCUGACCUCUCACCGGAGGCGAAAUGAUUCCCCACCCCGAGGGCUGGAGCUCCGGGAACUUGCCAAACUGUCCGGAGUGAACCGGGCUGGGACUGGGAUGCGCGAGUAGGCUGGGAUGGGUGGGGCUCCUUGCUGGUGGUGCUAUGGGGAAGUUGCCCGGGAAUUUCACCCUUGACCUUACCAUGCGGUGCUGGAGGUGAGGGAAUGAAAUCGAGAGUUUACAACCUGGGAGGUAAAUUAACCCGUUUUUCUGUUGGGGACGUGUGGAUUAAAUGCUGGAAUUGGUGCGGGAAUAGACCACCCAAAGCCUGCUCAGUUGACUGUGGAAAGGAAUUCACUCAGCCCAAAAAGCAUGUGGCAACGACUGGGAUUUGGAAAGCUGCUUUGUUUCCUGUGAAUCUGCCUCUGGCUGAGAGACAGACUUUCAGGAAACAUCAGAUGCCAGACCCUGUGAGGAUACAGCCGAGAAAAGAGAAAUGGAUUCUGCCCCGAUGGCUUCGCGCUGUGGUUGGUGGUAAAUCCUGCAAGCUGCCAGGAAGUAUUGGAUCUGUGAACUCCAUGUGCACUUAAUCCCUGUGCUGUAUUGCCUCCCACAAUGAAGUAUGAAGAAGUUAAAGUGAUCACCCCCACAACUUGUAACAGAGCCAACCCUGGCCUCUUCUCACUACAAAACUCUUGCUAUUUCUACUGACCAUGAGCUAAUUUUUUAAAUGCUGACCAUUUCUUUUGACAAUAAAGAAAUGCAAGAUGUUUGCCUUUUUAACUUUC